CACGUAGGCACCAAGCGUUGUCCGGAAUUAUUGGGCGUAAAGAGCUCGUAGGCGGCUUGUCGCGUCGGCUGUGAAAACCUGGGGCUCAACCCCGGGCCUGCAUUCGAUACGGGCAGACUAGAGUUCGGUAGGGGAGUCUGGAAUUCCUGGUGUAGCGGUGAAAUGCGCAGAUAUCAGGAGGAACACCGGUGGCGAAGGCGGGACUCUGGGCCGAUACUGACGCUGAGGAGCGAAAGCGUGGGGAGCAAACAGG
rnacentral:rRNA from 1 species